rnacentral:rRNA from 1 species
GGGAAGAGGCACAGGUAUACAUCGACGGUGCCCUCUCGCCGCUGACUGAGUGACUCAGUGACCAGAGAGACGGCCAGAAGGGUGAGGAGCCGGUAGGGCAGGUGGCGUUUAGGUAGCGUCGAUGGCGGCCGCCCCUCGUAGAGAGGAAGCGGCGGGCGGCAGGCCGCGGCAUCACUGCCGGCCGGCGGCGGUCUAGACCCCAGUCCGCUCUCUUCCUCUGGGUGGUUAGAGCUUAGGUGGUAAAGGGAGAGACGCAUUGUCUCCCUAAGCCCGCCGCGCGCGUAGCGGUAACGAGCCCUGAGCCCUCGAGAUUUGUCGGUCGGUCGGUCGGUCGGUACCGCCUGGACCGCCAGCCCGACAGGUUCUGCCACCACCGCCUCCGCGACUGGUUCCACGUCAGCCGGUAGCUGCUCCUGUUGUUCGAGGCCGUGUUCCGCGUCGCCCUGGACCACUGGUAGUGGGAGCUCAAGCUCUACUACGUCAGGAAGGACUUGCAGCGGUUGCCGCCCUCCCGGCGGCGGUACUUGUUGGACCACUCCUGGACCCACUCCGUGCAGGCGCUCGACCGGAUGCUGGACCUCCUGACGCACCUCAAGCAGCAGGUGGACCUGCCGUUCGGCCAGAAGACCGCGGCGGACGAGGGCCGCACGCACCAGCCGGGCGACGGCGACCUGGUCCGCCACCGCCUCUAUCUCCAGUAGUUCCCGUCCCGGCUCCUCGACUCGCGGACGAUGAGCGCGAUGUCGACGUAGCCGCUCGGACAGAGGUUGGAGCAGUACGACGUCGUCGUUGUCCGAAGGCCGGCCCGGCGGCUGCGUCGUCGCCGGCUGUACGAUCAGCUCCGUGCCCUAAGCCGCUUUUCCGUCGUUAAGGACCCACUAGAGCGGGUCAACUAGUGGUUGUUCCUAUUUCUGGAAGUCCACUAGAGCCACACCCCUUGUACGCCACUAGAACCCUGUUGGAGGUAGUAGUCCUUCCGCAUGUUACUAGGCCUCUAGACGGCCUCGAAGCGGACGGCGCAGACCCACUUCGAGUACGUAGGAAAGUUAGGGGUGCUCAAGCACGCCGCCAAGUACCGUGUCCAGAUGCGGCGUCUGCGAACGCAGCUGUUCCUUCCUCGUCUACAACCACAUGUACAGGACUGCUUUUACCUCCGGUACGUCCUUCUACACCCACACGAGUCUGCACUCAAACACGUCCUUCAGUUGUGGUUCUGAAUGGAGCAACACAACCUCUUGGAUUGACUGUACCAUCUAACCCUACGACACUCCUGCAAGGAUGGACUGUACUUCUUACCGUCGACCUAGUAGCACAGCUGCGUCGUUAAACUCUAACGUUCGGACACAUAGCCUGUACGAAUGGUUGGUGACCUCGAGUUCGUCAUGAGUGGACUCGUGAGCCAAACACGUAAGAAGUUCCUCCCAAGAGUUCUGAUACCUGGGUUUCUUCUCUUUGGUCACCACACACUUCACUCGAGUUUAAACAGGAACCUUUUUUAAGGGAGGAGGUUAUAAUUUCCCUAACUCCUGACCUACCUUUUAAUAGGGGAACAACCUGCACUCAAUCUUUACUUACUCGAAGCGUCGAUAUGUCGGUCCCGUGCAAAGUCGUUAAGAGGUCAAUAGAGACAAACCCCCUAUCGACCGUAACCCUUUAGUCGAGAACAAUCUUGGAACAUGAUACUGUCUUACGAAGUGUCGUUGGUUAAAUUGUUCAUGUCAACCCACCUACAUAGUGUAGGUAAGUUAAAUUCCCUAAAAAGAGCCUCGAAUGAAAACCUAGUAGUAAGUCUUUUCCUAGGGUAAUUUCUCACGGCCCUCGAUGACUCGGUUUUGGUCACAGAGCACCAAUAACUACUAGAGGUCAGGUUUCUUCUUACCCUGAAUUAUGUCAGACGUAACCAUAGAUCUGGAAGAAGUUCACAAUAGUAACAAUAAUGUUGACUUCGGUCGCAACGGUGUAUAACGUGUUUAUUGCUUCCCGUUCAUAAAUUACAGUUUCCAGAUCUUCGACAUCGCCGGUACCUAGAGAAGUCCUUUCUCCAUGUAUCCUUCUUAGGAAGUAGGGGAAAUUUCCUGGUGCUUCUAUACCUCGAUCUUCUCGAAUAAAACUUCACACCUCCAGAAGGGUUUCACUAUCAAAGAUAUCGACGGAAUAACCGGUGUGUCUGUCAUUGUAACUACCUAUGACAAGCGAGUAACUUAGUUUUUAAAUACGUCGUAGAUCUCUGGUUAGGCCUAAUACUCACAGAGUUCCCGGACAAACUAACCUACGUGAGCAUGAAGGCAUGAACGGGUCUAAGUGAGUUCGGUACGUAGAAGAUGGACAGUUAAAAAGGAGCCGUGGUGCCGUAAGCCGUUUCCGCUGAUCAUUCCUCCACCUAACGUCUUCCAAUGACAUCUCUGUCACUACUUCUUAGACGACAACUGUCUCCCCUCUUGAAGAAGAGGUUCGAGGAGCUCGACUCGUAUUAAGUCGUCUAUGGUGUCAAUCAGUGGUGACGUAUGUUACUGUGGUCGUACCAGAGCACGGUCCAGUUACCGAAGUAGGCGCUCAUGUAACAGAGCGCGUCUUACCUUCUCUUGGAACACAAACUUGAGCCCGGGUUCACGCAGGAUUGGUGGGUGGCGUGUCCCUCUGUGGAAUAGUAUAACGCUCUGACCCUGUCUCUGUUCUAACACAAACUCUCGUAGCUGAAGAGUGCCGAUGCGAGCGACUGUCACAAACCUUUCACCCUUAGUAAGAAGCAGAGGUUUUCAUACUCCGACGAAGCCCACGAACUAGACCUCCUGCGUGACCCACAUUUCCUACUUCUAGAACUCUUCUACCACUUCGCCGACGCAGCGGACUUCAAAGAGAGAAAUGCUCCUACGCCACUCUAUAAGGUAGACGGUUCGAGCGAGCCGCUAGAGUCCGUCGAGGUCUGAGACCUACACUCCGUGUGGAGGUAUGAGUUUGACGGUCGCUCGUAGUGUUCCGAUGUCUUCGAAGUCAUAUAGGUGCGGCCGUGGUGGCAGGCUCGUAGUCGCGACGGACGGGGUAGGUCGUCCAACGGUUUCAAGGUGUCUGCGGCGCCGGACAAACCAUAGUUCCACGGGUUUCCCUAGCCUUUUGACUGCCGCGACGUGUGCGAGCCGCAGCAGCUGCAGCCACGAAGUCCUCCCUUCCGGCAGCACCUUCUCGAGUCCUUUGAGUGGGUCGACGCGUUCGAGCCUCACAGACCGUAAUCAUCCGUAUUGUCGUUCCUGAAGAAGAGACGUUGGAGUCCGGAACACGUAGACCUUAGGAACGACCACGCCGACCCGUUCCUGUCGGUUCCGACGGACCUGCUUUAGUGGGACGGUACCCUCUUGGAGGCCUCGGAGUGUGAGGUGCCCGAAGUUCUGUUCGACGGUGGUAGUCUCUUGGAGUCGUUCGAGUACUUCGACCUAGACCUCUACCUGCGGAAUUUCCUUCUGCUGUAGCUCAAGGAUCGGUUGGAUAGCCUCGAUACGUAGGACGCAGAGGCUCAGCCUGUCGAAGUCCUACCAUUCGAGGUAAAAGUGCGGUUCUACAUACCCCUCCUCGACCAGUGGAAGUUCUUCCACUUCUAGGAGCUCUAGCGGAGGCCGCGGUCGCUCGAUGUGCACUGGAAGCCCAGCUCCAGCUACUUCUCGGAGCUCGACGACUUCUAGCUGACGAGGUCGCGCAGCAUGGUAGAGUGCCCGGACUUAAAAGACAGGCUCGAGUUCCUCCAGAACGAGGUCCCAUGGUUACUACUCCGCUAGUUCUCGUUGAACCUCUCGGUCGAACGGUUGGUAGGGUUCCGCGGAUGGCACUUCGACCUCCUUGACGGCGCAAGUAGGACUUCCCAACUGCGGUAGAGACAAAUAAAGUGAACAAAAGCGAAUGGUGCUCGAGACUAGGUCAGCGACGUUAGUCAGGAAGUCGAACAAAUGGAAACAAAAAAACACGUAGUCAUGACAACAACUUUAGAACUGACAAUGUUCAAUGUUGGUACACAAGGAACUCUUUACAUGAUGCAAGUUAAGAGUAUACCCAUGAACCUAUGCACGAGUAGAAGUUCCACUCCGUACCAGCUACACUUACGACUACAACCCUUGCUCGGACAAUGGUCGUUAUAUUGUAGUAGAACGACCCCUCCGGAGCCGUCCCGGGCUCGUGG